rnacentral:lncRNA from 1 species
CUCAAACGUACUCUCAUGGUGAAGCACGCUAUGAUGCAGCUCUACGUUCUCAAGCUGCUCAAGAUGCAGACUAAAUAUCUUGGCAGACAAUGGCGCAAGAGUAACAUGAAGACCUUGUCUGCAAUCUAUCAGAUGGUUCGCCAUCGCCUCAACGAUGACUGGGCGUACGGCAACGAUCCCGACGCUCGGCCCUGGGACUUCCAGACCGAAGAGUGCUC